rnacentral:lncRNA from 1 species
CGGCUAUGUAGGAUGUGCCUGCUUCCCAUUCGCCUCCCACCAGGAUUGUGGCACAGCAUGUGCAGGGCUGGAAGGCCGAGGAAGGCUGUGCAAGGCUGUGUCAGCAUCAAGGAAGGCGUCCAGCGUCUCCAGAGCCUCUACAAGUGCCUCCAUCAAACCAGCUUUUGGGAAAGAAUCUGUUAAGCCCAUUCAGCUAAGCGGCACGGGGUCACAGGGCUUUGAGUAGCCUUCCUCGGUGACGCUGAGUAGGGAACUCCGGGAUGGGGCUCCACGGUGGACUCUCGGGGACAGGCACCCGGGGCCACCCUACAAAGCCUCGCCCUCCAGGCCACAGUCCAGAGCCUUCGGCCUGCGCAGGGUCCUCGCUGCAUCCAGCGGACGGUACUGAGAAGCCAUGCGCUGGCGGUUUGAUGCAACACGACCCUCAGGGCCGACCCAGCGAGUGACCAAACAUAGCAUGUUUUUGUUUUGCAUCUCUCGUUUGUCCCGUUUCGCCUCGGGGGUGUGAUGGCGCCGCCCACCUCCCCACCCCGCCCAUUCCAAAGGGACUCUCCCAGCUACCGGAAUCAGCCGC